rnacentral:rRNA from 4 species
CCAGCGGUCCGGCCGGGAACUCAAAGGAGACUGCCAGUGAUAAACUGGAGGAAGGUGGGGAUGACGUCAAGUCAUCAUGGCCCUUACGACCAGGGCUACACACGUGCUACAAUGGCGCAUACAAAGAGAAGCGACCUCGCGAGAGCAAGCGGACCUCAUAAAGUGCGUCGUAGUCCGGAUUGGAGUCUGCAACUCGACUCCAUGAAGUCGGAAUCGCUAGUAAUCGUGGAUCAGAAUGCCACGGUGAAUACGUUCCCGGGCCUUGUACACACCGCCCGUCACACCAUGGGAGUGGGUUGCAAAAGAAGUAGGUAGCUUAACCUUCGGGAGGGCGCUUACCACUUUGUGAUUCAUGACUGGGGUGAAGUCGUAACAAGGUAACCGUAGGGGAACCUGC